rnacentral:rRNA from 1 species
AUUGAACGCUGGCGGCAUGCCUUACACAUGCAAGUCGAACGGUAACGCGGGGCAACCUGGCGACGAGUGGCGAACGAGUGAGUAAUGCAUCGGAACGUGCCCAGUAGUGGGGGAUAGCCCGGCGAAAGCCGGAUUAAUACCGCAUACGACCUACGGGUGAAAGGGGGGGAUCGCAAGACCUCUCGCUAUUGGAGCGGCCGAUGUCAGAUUAGGUAGUUGGUGGGGUAAAGGCCUACCAAGCCGACGAUCUGUAGCUGGUCUGAGAGGACGACCAGCCACACUGGGACUGAGACACGGCCCAGACUCCUACGGGAGGCAGCAGUGGGGAAUUUUGGACAAUGGGCGCAAGCCUGAUCCAGCCAUGCCGCGUGCGGGAAGAAGGCCUUCGGGUUGUAAACCGCUUUUGUCAGGGAAGAAAUCUUUUGAGUUAAUACCUCGGAAGGAUGACGGUACCUGAAGAAUAAGCACCGGCUAACUACGUGCCAGCCGCCGCCGUAACAC